UACGUAGGGUGCAAGCGUUGUCCGGAAUUAUUGGGCGUAAAGAGCUCGUAGGCGGUCUGUCGCGUCGGCUGUGAAAACCCGGGGCUCAACCCCGGGCCUGCAGUCGAUACGGGCAGACUAGAGUGCGGUAGGGGAGACUGGAAUUCCUGGUGUAGCGGUGAAAUGCGCAGUUAUCAGGAGGAACACCGGUGGCGAAGGCGGGUCUCUGGGCCGUAACUGACGCUGAGGAGCGAAAGCGUGGGGAGCGAACAGG
rnacentral:rRNA from 1 species